GGAGGGGUGGCAGAGUGGUCGAAUGCACCGGUCUUGAAAACCGGCGUGCCGCAAGGUACCGUGGGUUCGAAUCCCACCCCCUCUGCCA
rnacentral:tRNA from 4 species